AACUUUCUCUUUCAGUUAGUGGCAAUUGUGCUUCUAAUUGUCACCUUCUAAUUGUCAGCAGGUUCGUCUUCCAAACAUUAAUUGUAUAUGGUGACAGAACACUAUCAAUUAGUGGCAAUUGAAAUCCAAAUCAUGACUCUUGAGUACCAUUGGAAUUAAUGGAGGGAGUAUGUACUAAAUAUGAAGUAUAAUACUUUUUUGUAUUCAAUUACCACUGUUGGUGCAAAAAAAAGUGCAUACAGUUGAGCUGCAAUGGGUGAGAAUGAAUCAAACUAAAGGUAUUUGCUCUGACAUGCGCUGUAUGGAUAUACUCCUACUGAACAAGCCAGCGGCUGCAAGAGCAACAACAGCGGCAAAUAUACACAGCAAACACUUG
rnacentral:lncRNA from 1 species